rnacentral:rRNA from 1 species
UGGGGAAUUUUGGACAAUGGGCGAAAGCCUGAUCCAGCAAUGCCGCGUGUGUGAAGAAGGCCUUCGGGUUGUAAAGCACUUUUGUCCGGAAAGAAAUCCUUGGCUCUAAUACAGUCGGGGGAUGACGGUACCGGAAGAAUAAGCACCGGCUAACUACGUGCCAGCAGCCGCGGUAAUACGUAGGGUGCAAGCGUUAAUCGGAAUUACUGGGCGUAAAGCGUGCGCAGGCGGUUUGCUAAGACCGAUGUGAAAUCCCCGGGCUCAACCUGGGAACUGCAUUGGUGACUGGCAGGCUAGAGUAUGGCAGAGGGGGGUAGAAUUCCACGUGUAGCAGUGAAAUGCGUAGAGAUGUGGAGGAAUACCGAUGGCGAAGGCAGCCCCCUGGGCCAAUACUGACGCUCAUGCACGAAAGCGUGGGGAGCAAACAGGAUUAGAUACCCUGGUAGUCCACGCCCUAAACGAUGUCAACUAGUUGUUGGGGAUUCAUUUCCUUAGUAACUAGCUAACGCGUGAAGUUGACCGCCUGGGGAGUACGGUCGCAAGAUUAAAACUCAAAUGAAUUGAC